CAACCUCCUCCUUUCAUCCCUGCUUCUGGUUUAAUCCCAUCACAGCUCAGAAAGGAGAGAAGUGGGGAAAGGAGAGGAUUUCUGCUUAAAAGGAAAAAGAAGAGAGUAGUUGUAAAAGCUGGGGAUGGAGGAGGGAACAGAAACAUCCUUCUUUCAAGGAAAAGAUGCUGUGGCUGCUGUUCUGGGUACCAUAUGCCAGGGUUGUGGCAUCUCCCUUGCCUGGUCUUGGGUUAAUCCAGAACCUGGUGGGGAAGAGCCCAUCGAGGAGGCCUUCACCACACACCUGCUGAUGGCAGCAGCUCAGGUUCCAGCUUCUCCUGCUCCUGGGAGCCCACAUCCUCUGUGGUCACCUGCCUGCACCCUCUGUUAUCUCUCAUGCACCUUCUAAUGAUGCCUUCCCUGGCCCUGACUCACCUGCUGAUAUGGAGACCCUCCCUGUCUGGCCACAUCCUCUGUCCCCCCACCAAAAAGGAAGGAGGAUUGGCAGCAAACAGCACUCCAGCACCCAUCAGCCACGGGGGAGCUUGGAAAAUGUGCAUUUUUGUUAGCUAACCGUAGUUUAUAUAUUAUGUACAAUGGAGAAACCAUUAGGGUUGCUCAGACUCUGCUCCUCCAAGAGGAAGGAUUCACACCCCUCCUCUCACCAGUGAGAUGUGAUGCCUCAGAGCACCCAAGUCUCUCAUCCUCUUUUCCCUACUGGGCAUCUCCACACUGUGAAAUGAUAGUCCUUAACCACAUAAACUUGUGGUUUCCACAUGCCAGCAGCUCAGGCUGAGCAAUGACAGGAGCCCAGGACUUACUGCCAAUAAAGUAAGUGAGCUUAUCUUCA
rnacentral:lncRNA from 1 species